AAUUGCCACCAUCAUUUACAAAGCCCUUUUGAUUCCCUUUCUUCCUCCCAUAUCGACCUCAUCACACACACUCUCUCUCUCUGUAACUUUCUUGGUUCCAUCGCAGACCUGUUGCCCCGGCCGGAAAAUCCCCCGCUGAUUCGCUCACAGAUUAGGGCAAAAUUGUUUCAGUUCUUUGUUUUUAGGUUUUGUUGAUAUCAAUCUUUGAUCCCCUUUCAGAUUCACGCCUUUAUUUGGAAAAUUGAAUUUAGGUUUUUUGCUGAUUUUUGUUUAAUUCUGCAUCGGAAAUCAAGAUCACACACUCGAAUUGAAGAGCGUUCACGUGAGAAUCUAUACGAGAAGGUAUGUGUUUGUGUUCAAUAAUCAGUAUCAUGUGUCAUAUGAUUGAUUUCUUGAAUACCUAUUUGGAUAUGAGCUUGUUUGUGUAUUGAAUGCAAGGUGUUUGAUGAACUGCGCCAAUGGGUUUAACAGGGUUUUGUAACCUUUGAGUUUAUUUUUACAUUUAUUUGUUAUCAUUUAGUGGGUUUUUGUUUUAGUAAUCAGUAACAGGUCCGUGUCUGUAAUCGUGUAUGGAGACCAAGAAAAGCCACCCUUUAUUACAUAUCCACAUUUAGCUCUAAAUCGACUAUUCUUUUGUCCCGAAGCCGCUUCAUUGCUUCUUCAUAAUUUCUGCAUUUAUCACAUCAGUUCACCUGGAGAUGAGGUCUGUGAACGGACUUAUAUUAAUAUAGGGUUGUUUGGAUGUUCAUUUUGAACUUGAUUAUUUGAUAUUAAAUAAUCAGAAUUAGAUGAUAAAACUUGGUUCUUAGAGGGUCUUUUGUAAACUUGGAAAUUAUGACUUAUUAUGAAAUUAAUAGAUAAAAUGAAAAUCACAUUUUUGUAGAAGAUGGGAAGACGUUUUGUUAAGUAAGAGUAAAAUUAUUCUGAUUAGCUUAAAAGGAAAUAAUUUUAUUUUGAGUAAAAUGCCAAAAUCGUCCCUGAGGUUUGGGCGCUUUUACCUGUUACAUCUAAAAUAAGAAUUUUUUGUCUGUUUUGCACUGGUGGAAUGUUGAUUAUGAGCUGGCCAAAUUGUUGACCUCUGAGAUGAAGCUUAAGAAACCUUAGGAUUUCUUUGUAGCUUCCGGUUUGCUUAGAGACAGAGGGUCUCUCACGUUGACUUUUCCUGGUCCAAGUGCAACACUUGAGCUAUGGAGAUCAUCGUCUGAGUUCUGUGCUAUUAGAUCAAACCUAAUACGAAAUUCGUGGGUUUGGGUUUGGUAUAACCGGUUUCAGAUGCUGCUGUUCUCAAGCAUUUAAAGGAUCACCUCUUGACCAAAAUAAAUGUUGGCUUGGGUUGAAGUGUAGAUUACAAGAUAUAGGUUACAUCACUUUGAUAAUGUAUUUUUGUAGUUAAGUUGGGUGUUUUAAAAAUAUUUUGUUACCGUUGUCUAAUAUAUCACUUGUCUAUUUUGUUAUCAUCGUUUGAACAUUUUUAACCUUAGGUUCUUUGUUAUAAAACGGUUGAUGUGUUUUGAAAGUUUAGAUGGUUGUUUGUUUUGUCUAUAUAUAAUAUACAUGCACAAUAUAUACAUGUGUAAACUAAGUUCGAGCCGCCGCAAUCUCCCAUAACAUUUUCGCUUUGUUGACCACCUGAUUGACUGCGAAUCGUGUUUACAACGCGUAUUGUCGACUCCGCAGCAACGUGCGGGUUUCCCACUAGUACUAUAUAUAAGCAUCUCAUAUGUCUACAAAUGUAAUUUACUAUCAUAUUUUUAAGAUGGCAUACCAAAAGCUAGAACAAAUUCUUAUAUUUUUACACUUUUCUUCCUUUUUUGCCCCUGCUCACACACACAAAAUCAUUUCCUUACCUGCCCUAAAAAAACCAACAGACGUCCUCAUAAUCAAACCCCCUCUAAUUAUAUCGCCACAUUCAACAAGGAAUUCCAAAGAUCUUCCUCGUUAUUUUUCUCUUCUCAAAAUGUCAGUUAAGUACCGAUUCCAUCCCACCCCUGUUAAGAGGCAAGGUUAAGCAGGUGAACGACCAGGUCUCGGUGGUCUGCAAGGGAAGUGAUGAUGGUGGUUCAAGAAGGAGCAAUAACCGAUUAGGGUUUUCAGGGUAACCGGGUGAAGAAGACGACCGGUAAACCAAACCACGUGCACCCGUUUCUGCGGAGUUCGAGUUACAGUCCAAACUUCAGGGUUAUUUUGUUCUAUUUUACUCUGCCCAGAUUUGCCCUUUGCUUUGGAGAUUCUGUUCAACGAGAUAAUAAGAAGAUUGGAGCUGCUACUGCACAUAAAGUUCAAGCCACGAUUGGGGUGAUGGUGAUGGUUCAUGGUGACGAUACAGGGCUGAUUUCAGACUUCUCAAGUUGUCUACAGGUUCAUAUCCCGUCUGGUGCGAGAUCCAUUUGUUUGGUUUAAAAAUGAACGCGUUUGAGCUAGGUUCGUUCCUUUGGUUCUAGCGGCAAUUCAACUAUAAUUCUUGUUUUAUCAUACGACUGAUUCUGGGGUUGAUGUGUCUGUAUUUUCAAGCGGCCACAAUGCAAAAGUGAAAUUUCAACUUCAGAAGUGUUCGCAAACCUGGAUUCUUCACUGGGGUUGCAUCUAUAAUGGAAACAAGUAAUAACAUCCUGCUGACCGUCAACGUUUUUUGCUUUCUUAUUAGUGGUGGCAAAAAGCGAAGGUCGGGUGUGUUUGAUAAUGGAUCAAAACGAGUUUGGGUCGAUAUGGGCCAAAAUAGUCACCCUUUUUUACCAAAUCGAUCAGUCUUGUUGAUGGUACCAUUUCAAGAGUUGGACAACUGAAUUUCAAGAGUUGGACAACUAAAAGGUGUUAUGACAGAGCAUUUUGCGCUUUGGGAGGACCCGUUCAAGAACCCAUGCUAUCUGUUCGCGUUAGUUGUGGGCCAGUUAGCGAGCCGAGACGAUACGUUCACAACGUGUUCGGUUCGUAAAGUUGCCCUGAGAAUAUGGACCCCCGCAGAGGAUCUUCCGAAAACCGAGCAUGCCAUGUAUUAUCUCAAAGCAGCCAUGAAAUAGGAUGAAGAUGUCAGUUCUUGCAUGCUCUUUUAAUACUUUUUUUAUAAACGAUGAAAAGGGCGGGUUGCAUAACGGGUCAUAUAGUUUUUUGUUUGAGUUAAAAGUUAAAACGGGCCAGGCUGAGCGAUCCUUCAAACACGUAUGUAUUUAUUUUAUUCAACUUUGGAAAUCCAGGUCAACAUUAUGGUAUUGCAUAUCUUUUUAUGUGAAUAUCUAUUGCUGGUUUU